rnacentral:rRNA from 1 species
ACAUGCAAGUCGAGGGGUAACAAGUCUAGCUUGCUAGAUGUUGACGACCGGCGCACGGGUGCGCAACGCGUAUACAAUCUACCCCCUACUGUGGGAUAGCCCAGAGAAAUUUGGAUUAAGACCACAUAGUACUAUAUUACGGCAUCGUAUUUAUAGUUAAAGGUUACGGUAGGGGAUGAGUAUGCGUCCCAUUAGUUAGUUGGCGAGGUAACGGCUCACCAAGACCGCGAUGGGUAGGGGCCCUGAGAGGGGGGUCCCCCACACUGGUACUGAGACACGGACCAGACUCCUACGGGAGGCAGCAGUGAGGAAUAUUGGACAAUGGACGAGAGUCUGAUCCAGCCAUGCCGCGUGCAGGAAGAAUGCCCUAUGGGUAGUAAACUGCUUUUAUACGGGAAGAAAAAGAGCUACGUGUAGCUUACUGACGGUACCGUAAGAAUAAGGACCGGCUAACUCCGUGCCAGCAGCCGCGGUAAUACGGAGGGUCCGAGCGUUAUCCGGAAUUAUUGGGUUUAAAGGGUCCGUAGGCGGGCCGAUAAGUCAGUGGUGAAAGUUUGCAGCUCAACUGUAAAAUUGCCUUUGAUACUGUCGGUCUUGAGUUAUAGUGAAGUUGCCGGAAUAUGUAGUGUAGCGGUGAAAUGCAUAGAUAUUACAUAGAACACCGAUUGCGAAGGCAGGUGACUAACUAUAUACUGACGCUGAUGGACGAAAGCGUGGGGAGCGAACAGGAUUAGAUACCCUGGUAGUCCACGCCGUAAACGAUGGAUACUAGCUGUCCGGGUCCUUGAGACCUGGGCGGCCAAGCGAAAGUGAUAAGUAUCCCACCUGGGGAGUACGUUCGCAAGAAUGAAACUCAAAGGAAUUGACGGGGGCCCGCACAAGCGGUGGAGCAUGUGGUUUAAUUCGAUGAUACGCGAGGAACCUUACCAGGGCUUAAAUGCAUUUUGACAGGGGUAGAGAUACCUUUUCCUUCGGGCAAUUUGCAAGGUGCUGCAUGGUUGUCGUCAGCUCGUGCCGUGAGGUGUCAGGUUAAGUCCUAUAACGAGCGCAACCCCUACCGUUAGUUGCCAGCGAGUCAUGUCGGGGGACUCUAACGGGACUGCCGGUGCAAACCGUGAGGAAGGUGGGGACGACGUCAAAUCAUCACGGCCCUUACGUCCUGGGCCACACACGUGCUACAAUGGCCGGUACAGCGGGAAGCCAUGCGGUAACGCAGAGCGGAUCCACAAAACCGGUCACAGUUCGGAUCGGGGUCUGCAACUCGACCCCGUGAAGCUGGAAUCGCUAGUAAUCGGAUAUCAGCCAUGAUCCGGUGAAUACGUUCCCGGGCCUUGUACACACCGCCCGUCAAGCCAUGGAAGCUGGGAGUGCCUGAAGUCCGUCACCGUAAGGAGCGGCCUAGGGCAAGAUCGG